rnacentral:rRNA from 1 species
CCUACGGGUGGCUGCAGUGGGGAAUAUUGGACAAUGGGCGCAAGCCUGAUCCAGCAAUUCCGCGUGGGUGAAGAAGGUCUUCGGAUUGUAAAGCCCUUUCGGCGGGGACGAUGAUGACGGUACCCGCAGAAGAAGCCCCGGCUAACUUCGUGCCAGCAGCCGCGGUAAUACGAAGGGGGCUAGCGUUGCUCGGAAUUACUGGGCGUAAAGGGCGCGUAGGCGGCGCAUUUGGUCAGGCGUGAAAUUCCCGGGCUCAACCUGGGGGCUGCGCUUGA